UUUAAUAUGGCAGAAUUAAGUGCAAUGAAUUUAAGAUUCAUAAAUAAAUCAUAUUUUAUUAAAA
rnacentral:tRNA from 1 species